rnacentral:rRNA from 1 species
AUUGAACGCUGGCGGCAGGCCUAACACAUGCAGGUCGAGCGGAUGAAGGGAGCUUGCUCCUGGAUUCAGCGGCGGACGGGUGAGUAAUGCCUAGGAAUCUGCCUGGUAGUGGGGAUAACGUCCGGAAACGGGCGCUAAUACCGCAUACGUCCUGAGGGAGAAAGUGGGGGAUCUUCGGACCUCACGCUAUCAGAUGAGCCUAGGUCGGAUUAGCUAGUUGGUGGGGUAAAGGCCUACCAAGGCGACGAUCCGUAACUGGUCUGAGAGGAUGAUCAGUCACACUGGAACUGAGACACGGUCCAGACUCCUACGGGAGGCAGCAGUGGGGAAUAUUGGACAAUGGGCGAAAGCCUGAUCCAGCCAUGCCGCGUGUGUGAAGAAGGUCUUCGGAUUGUAAAGCACUUUAAGUUGGGAGGAAGGGCAGUAAGUUAAUACCUUGCUGUUUUGACGUUACCAACAGAAUAAGCACCGGCUAACUUCGUG